CCUACGGGUGGCAGCAGUGGGGAAUAUUGGGCAAUGGAGGAAACUCUGACCCAGCAACGCCGCGUGAAUGAUGAAGGUCUUCGGAUUGUAAAGUUCUGUCGCAGGGGACGAAAAUGACGGUACCCUGCAAGAAAGCUCCGGCUAACUACGUGCCAGCAGCCGCGGUAAUACGUAGGGAGCAAGCGUUGUCCGGAAUUACUGGGUGUAAAGGGAGCGUAGGCGGGAGGAUAAGUUGAAUAUGAAAUCUAUGGGCUCAACCCAUAGCUGCGUUCAAAACUGUUCUUCUUGAGUGAAGUAGAGGCAGGCGGAAUUCCUAGUGUAGCGGUGAAAUGCGUAGAUAUUAGGAGGAACACCAGUGGCGAAGGCGGCCUGCUGGGCUUUUACUGACGCUGAGGCUCGAAAGCGUGGGUAGCAAACAGGAUUAGAUACCCGGGUAGUC
rnacentral:rRNA from 1 species